GAUGAACGCUGGCGGCGUGCCUAAUACAUGCAAGUCGAGCGAACGGACGAGAAGCUUGCUUCUCUGAUGUUAGCGGCGGACGGGUGAGUAACACGUGGAUAACCUACCUAUAAGACUGGGAUAACUUCGGGAAACCGUAGCUAAUACCGGAUAAUAUUUUGAACCGCAUGGUUCAAAAGUGAAAGACGGUCUUGCUGUCACUUAUAGAUGGAUCCGCGCUGCAUUAGCUAGUUGGUAAGGUAACGGCUUACCAAGGCAACGAUGCAUAGCCGACCUGAGAGGGUGAUCGGCCACACUGGAACUGAGACACGGUCCAGACUCCUACGGGAGGCAGCAGUAGGGAAUCUUCCGCAAUGGGCGAAAGCCUGACGGAGCAACGCCGCGUGAGUGAUGAAGGGCUUCGGAUCGUAAAACUCUGUUAUUAGGGAAGAACAUAUGUGUAAGUAACUGUGCACAUCUUGACGGUACCUAAUCAGAAAGCCACGGCUAACUACGUGC
rnacentral:rRNA from 1 species